rnacentral:snRNA from 1 species
AUACCUUUCUCGGCCUUUUGGCUAAGAUCAAGUGUAGUAUCUGUUCUUAUCAGUUUAAUAGCUGAUAUGGGCCACGUGCCCCAACGCUAUUAACCUAAUUUUUUGGGUAGCUUGCUACCCGGUCCUCCACGUGUCGCUUCGGCCUUACACUACCGCCUUAGCCUGGCACAGCCCAA